UACGUAGGGGCCAAGCGUUGUCCGGAUUUAUUGGGCGUAAAGAGCUCGUAGGUGGUUCGGCAAGUCAGUUGUGAAAUCUCCGCGCUCAACGCGGAGGGGGUCAGCUGAAAACUGCUGUGACUUGAGUGUGGCAGAGGGGGGGUGGAAUUCCAGGUGUAGCAGUGAAAUGCGUAGAUAUCUGGAGGAACACCGAUGGCGAAGGCAGCCCCCCUGGGCUAACACUGACGCUGAUGCACGAAAGCGUGGGGAGCAAACAGG
rnacentral:rRNA from 1 species